rnacentral:rRNA from 1 species
UACGUAGGGAGCAAGCGUUGUCCGGAAUCAUUGGGCGUAAAGCGCGCGUAGGUGGCCACAUAAGUCCGUUGUGAAAGUCAAAGGCUCAACCUUUGAAAGCCGAUGGAUACUGUGUGGCUAGAGUACGGAAGAGGCGAGUGGAAUUCCUGGUGUAGCGGUGGAAUGCGCAGAUAUCAGGAGGAACAUCCGUGGCGAAGGCGGCCAUCUGGAUCAACACUGACGCUGAGGCACGAAAGCGUGGGGAGCAAACAGG